rnacentral:rRNA from 1 species
CGGUGGAGCAUUGUUGGUUUAAUCGAAGCAACGCGAAGAACCUUACCAGGUCUUGACAUCCCGAUGCUAUUUCUAGAGAUAGAAGUUACUUCGGUACAUCGGUGACAGGUGGUGCAUGGUUGUCGUCAGCUCGUGUCGUGAGAUGUUGGGUUAAGUCCCGCAACGAGCGCAACCCCUAUUGUUAGUUGCCAUCAUUCAGUUGGGCACUCUAGCGAGACUGCCGGUAAUAAACCGGAGGAAGGUGGGAUGACGUCAAAUCAUCAUGCCCCUUAUGACCUGGGCUACACACGUGCUACAAUGGUUGGUACAACGAGUUGCGAGUCGGUGACGGCGAGCUAAUCUCUUAAAGCCAAUCUCAGUUCGGAUUGUAGGCUGCAACUCGCCUACAUGAAGUCGGAAUCGCUAGUAAUCGCGGAUCAGCACGCCGCGGUGAAUACGUUCCCGGGCCUU